AAGAAACCAACAGGGAUUGCCCUAGUAACGGCGAGUGAAGCGGCAACAGCUCAAAUUUGAAAUCUGGCCUCUUUUGGGGUCCGAGUUGUAAUUUGCAGAGGGCGCUUUGGAGUCGGCAGCGGUCCAAGUUCCUUGGAACAGGACGUCACAGAGGGUGAGAAUCCCGUACGUGGUCGCUAGCCUUCUCCGUGUAAAGCCCCUUCGACGAGUCGAGUUGUUUGGGAAUGCAGCUCUAAAUGGGAGGUAAAUUUCUUCUAAAGCUAAAUAUUGGCCAGAGACCGAUAGCGCACAAGUAGAGUGAUCGAAAGAUGAAAAGCACUUUGGAAAGAGAGUCAAAAAGCACGUGAAAUUGUUGAAAGGGAAGCGCUUGCAGCCAGACUUGCCUGUAGUUGCUCAUCCGGGCUUUUGCCCGGUGCACUCUUCUAUAGGCAGGCCAGCAUCAGUUUGGGCGGUUGGAUAAAGGUCUCUGUCAUGUACCUCUCUUCGGGGAGAACUUAUAGGGGAGACGCCAUGCAACCAGCUCAGACUGAGGUCCGCGCAUUCGCUAGGAUGCUGGCGUAAUGGCUGUAAGC
rnacentral:rRNA from 1 species